rnacentral:sRNA from 1 species
AAGCUUUCUCUACUUCCUCUUCGGAGUAGGUGUCUGCGUGUAGGUCAGUCGUGGAGUCGCCUUCUUGGGGCUCAAGAACGACAAACAAAGCCAUCCUCUUUUCAUUGUCUAGGGACUUUGUGACCUCUACAGCCGGGGCUUCUUCCGCCUUGGCGGGAGCCCCGAAAGCAUUGCUGAGAGCUUCAAUAACACUUUCAAGAGUCAGCAUUCUGUCUCCUUAUGCGUUAUUUGCAGCGGCGUUGUCUCUACCGGCUGCGGAUGUUGAUGCACCAUUACCUACUCCAGCUUUACCUGCUUGAGACUGACCACCCAUGAUAUUAUCCACAUCAACAGGCUCGUCGUCUGGUCGAGGCUUAAUCUUGAGAGCUUUGCGAAUCUUGUUGUAAACCUC